GUGGCAGAGAACUCCUCCAGGCACCGCAGGGCCAGCGUGUCAUCCACUAGCAGGUCCAGCUUCAGUGAAAAGAAGAACAGAAACUAGAAGCAUUUUGAGAAACACGAUCGGAGCAUGAAGAUAUGGAGGGGGAAGGAGAGGAAGAGACCAAAGGUGAAGAAGAGUGAGUCUAACCUGGCUGGGAGUUGCACUCGGGACCUGGGAGCUCAACAGGGACCUGGGAGCUCUACAUCCUCUACAUCUGGGAACUGCCUGUUAUCAUGGAAAGAUUAACAACCUGGAUGCAGAAACCAGAGGCGCCAGCCUUUUACAUACCCCCAGGCCUUUGCAACCCCCCAGCCUGCAUUGCCUGUAAACUAUCCAUUUUGCAUACCCAUUCUUAUCCCUUUUGCCUACUUUCCCAAGUAAUCUUUGUCCUUCUACCAUUCGCAGCUGGUUUAUGGGGAGAGGCAGAGCAGAUUUUUGGGGAUGACCUGCUGCUCUCCCAUACUGCUGGAAGUAUUGGUGUAAACACUCAUAUAUGAUUCAACCCUGUCUCUGCUGAAUUGGCUCAAGUAGUGACAGGCAGUCCAGACCCACUGAUUGUUCAGUUACAUUAUUAUUUGUCAGGAGCCAAGAGUUGGUCAAAGGAUUAACUCUGACCUUACUUCAGUAAGUUACUGAAACUAGGCCCACUUCCUCUUGCCUGAGGACAAAGCAUUCUUUCCAUAGUUGCCCUUCAACCGCCAUAUUCUCUAUCUAUAGUCUGCACCCUUUACGACCUUAGUCAAUUAUCUAAGUCCACAUGACCCGUUCAGCCCCUACCCCUCCUAGGCAUCUCCCCUUCUAGAAACCACAUAUAAGGAACGCUGUAAAAAAUAAAAUUUCGAGGCUUGAUCAGAA